ensembl:lncRNA
AAUGUUCUCACAGUUCUAAACCUCUUUAAUUCCUAAUAAUUGAGUAAACAUAGGCCUUUGCCUGAAUAAAAGGCAUGGAGUUGGCUUGGUGGAAGCAGACGAGGUAAGAUGGAGCUUCCACACAACGGAGAAGAGGUGUGGUGAAUGGAAUCGUCACGUAUAAAGACAAACGUGACAUCAGCGGUGGAUAGCUCAUGGUCCUGAUUUUCUUUCUUCCAGUCGGGAAUAAAAGAGAAAUUCUGCUUUUGUUGUUGUUUUCAGUUUCCUCCUUUCAGAAAGCAGCAGCUUGUAUGGCUCCAAAUAAGACCAGAUUCCAGGAAACGCUAGCCUGCUGCGCUUGGCAGGAUAGUUGUGAUUUUCAAUCCACUGCGCGUGCUUUUCAACCCCACUUGCAGCAGGAAAACCAGGAUAUGUUAAGCUCUCCACUCUGCUAGGUUUGCAAUAUAUACCUCCCUCCUUUUCUCCCUCUUCAUGGGAGGCAAUUCUGAGUCAUAGUCCACGUGGUCCUCCAAGGGUGCCCAGUGGGACUGAGCCCCCAUUGUCCACAGCAGUGAUCAGUUCAUUAACAUACCGUUCAUUGGUUUUCCUCUCUUCCACUGUCACUUCCCCAUUUCAUCACUGGGCUUCCUGGGAUCACCUCCCAAGUAAAGUACUUGCUUUUGAGUCUUCCUUCAGAGCCUGCUUUGGGGGAAUCCAAACUAAAACAAUCCAAAAUUACAGCUCUGAACAUCCUUUUCUAGGCAACAUUAGCACAGUUCUCAUUCCUUUACUAGCUCAUUAUUGUUUAUUGGAUAACCUCCAAGUUCGUUAGCCUGGUAUUCAGAGCCCUCUGUGAUGUGACCACAAUCUUCCUUCUCACAAUUUAUGCCCAAUAUCCUCCAGGCAACCUGUCCUCCAGCCACACCAGGUUACUGUCUGUUUUCAAAACACACCCUGGUGGUUCUAUCCACUAGCAGGUCCCUUCUCUGAAACAGCUUCUCUGAGCUUUCAGAACCAACUGAGAAUCACAUAGCUUCAUGGGGAAGAUACAUCUUCGGAACUCCCUGUCAUACCUAUCAAUUUAGAGUUGAGAAAACUGAGGCCUAGAGAAUUGACUCAUCCAGCAGUGCCAGACCUGGAAACACAUUCUCCUGAUUUCUAUUCUAGUGCUUUCCCCACUGCAUUCUGCUUCCUCCUAAAGCCCUAUUUGUAUUGUCAUCAUUUUUUGGCACCAAUGGACAAGGUCAUACUCUGUUAAGUACUAAGGCAGUGAGCUCUGCCCUUUUCUCUCUUGCUACCCUGCAGUGAAUUUUCCUGUCACUUUCCAAAUCUAUUCUAAAUGCCACACACUUUAGUGUUGACAGCUCCUGCACCUGGUAACCACAGAUAUUUCUUAUUUGUGGUGAAGUAAGCUCAUAAAGGGAAGGAGAAAUUUCACUCCAGCCUUAGGAGUGUUUGUGCAUCAGCAAAUUACCAGGUUUUUUUCUGACAUAGGUAACAAUUAUUUUUAUUUUUUGGUCCUACUUUCUAACAUGUGACUUUCUAGAUUCCCUCCUGAGCCAAGAGUCAUUUGGUUUGUGUGCAUUUCUGAGCUUACUGACCUGUGUUCAGUAACCAGCCUGCAAAAUCCUCUAAUUUUAUCAGCUCACAAAAUCACUCUACAAGAAAAUAAUGGCUUCCUAUUGUCAGAUAUAUGCAUAACAAAAGACUAGCUGUAAGGGAAAACAAUCAAUAAAACCAUUAAGAAUAUUCUUUUCCUUUCUUGACCUUGAAAUCUUGAUCUUUCUCAACAUGGUCAAGACUUAAUAGACCCUACAGUUGGUCCCAGGGGUUCUCAUUUUAUCUGAUGACACUCUUCCUAGCUACAUUAUGGAGUCUACGUUAAAACUUUCCUUUUCCCGUUAUUUGCUCUUUGAAAAAUUUAAAUGGUAAUAAACCCAUUUCACCUGCAAAAUUCUUUUUUUUUUUGCAAAAAUGCUUUUGAAAUAGAUUUUCUUUUUCUUUCUUAAUAUCAACAUUUCAGCUCCCUCGUCUUUUUUACUCACUAACUUAUAUUUUCUAAGAUUGAUCCAGGAUUGAAGGGAUUUUGAAGAAAUUUAGAAGUUAAGGUACAGCUUU